rnacentral:rRNA from 1 species
UACAGAGGGGGCAAGCGUUGUUCGGAAUUACUGGGCGUAAAGGGCGCGUAGGCGGCCCGCUAAGUCGAACGUGAAAUCCCCGAGCUCAACUCGGGAACUGCGUCCGAUACUGGCGGGCUUGAAUCCGGGAGAGGGACGUGGAAUUCCAGGUGUAGCGGUGAAAUGCGUAGAUAUCUGGAGGAACACCGGUGGCGAAGGCGACGUCCUGGACCGGCAUUGACGCUGAGGCGCGAAAGCCAGGGGAGCAAACGGG